rnacentral:rRNA from 1 species
AUGGAGGACUACAUAGAUGAGCACACUGGCGAGAAGCAAGGUGCAAGACAAUUGGCAAGAAACAAUUCAAGAACCCACAACUUUUAUGCAGUAUCAUGGUUGUACAGGAGGCAAGGACAGGGGACCAGAUUUGGGGCAAGAUUCAAGUCAGGUUUUCGCAACACUUGGGUACAGGAGGCAACUAUGCAAGUAGUAGAGCAUGGGGUACGUACGUGCAAAGGGGGGAGUUCCACUAGCUCUAGUAGAACUGAAAAGAAUUUGAAUGGACCUGUUAUCUUUCUUGUUUUUUACCAGGAGAAACUUGCCCAGUUCUGGCAAUUUUUUUGCCCACGUUUUCUUCAGAUUGUUGCCUGA